GUAGUCCAUGCCGUAAACGUUGGGCACUAGGUGUGGGGGACAUUCCACGUUUUCCGCGCCGUAGCUAACGCAUUAAGUGCCCCGCCUGGGGAGUACGGCCGCAAGGCUAAAACUCAAAGGAAUUGACGGGGGCCCGCACAAGCGGCGGAGCAUGCGGAUUAAUUCGAUGCAACGCGAAGAACCUUACCAAGGCUUGACAUGUGCUAGAUCGCCAUAGAAAUAUGGUUUCCCCUUUUGGGGCUGGUUCACAGGUGGUGCAUGGUUGUCGUCAGCUCGUGUCGUGAGAUGUUGGGUUAAGUCCCGCAACGAGCGCAACCCUCGUUCUAUGUUGCCAGCACGUUAUGGUGGGGACUCAUAGGAGACUGCCGGGGUCAACUCGGA
rnacentral:rRNA from 1 species